GAUGAACGCUAGCGGCAGGCCUAACACAUGCAAGUCGAGGGGUAACAUUUCAGCUUGUUGAAGAUGACGACCGGCGUACGGGUGCGUAACGCGUAUAGAACCUACCUUUUACAGGGGAAUAGCCCAGAGAAAUUUGGAUUAAUGCCCCAUGGUAUGUAGGUGUGGCAUCACACUUUCAUUAAACAUUUAUGGGUAAAAGAUGGCUAUGCGUCUUAUUAGUUAGUUGGUAGGGUAACGGCUUACCAAGACAUCGAUAAGUAGGGGUCCUGAGAGGGAGAUCCCCCACACUGGUACUGAGACACGGACCAG
rnacentral:rRNA from 1 species